rnacentral:lncRNA from 1 species
AGAAAUUGGUUCCUGUGCUACCAGUUUAGGUUCGAACCUGUGGGGUCACACACAUUAGAGGUUCCUUUCUGAUCUGAUGGCUGAUUAUGAGUCUUAUCUGUCUGGGACUCUAUGAUUGAGAAUUAGGAUUCUCUGAUCAUGAGUUUCACAUAUUUUGGGUACCGGGGUCAAAAUUUUAAAUUUCAAAUUUUGAAUUUGAAAUUUGAAUUCUUUGAUCAGGGUUUCAUAUCGAUGGUCUCUGAUGCCUGAUUGCCCAUCGGAUUUGGAUUCAAUAUUUAUGAGAGGUUUAAUUAAUAAUUUGAUUAUUAAUUAACUCAAUUUGAUUGAGUAAUUAUUUUUGGAUCAAGUCCAAUUGAAUUGGAUUCAGUUUGGAUUGACCCGAUUAGGUUAAAUGUUGACCUAAUCGCUAAGGUGGUUUAGUCCCUGAUUUGAUCAGGGGUUAGAUUUAGUUAAUUCUUGAUUUAAUUAGAAUUUUAUUGAGCCUAAUUAAGCCUAAUUAUGUUGGGUUUAAUCUAUUCUAAUU